rfam:Camelus ferus unplaced genomic scaffold scaffold726, whole genome shotgun sequence.
UUUAAAAGGUGGAUAUUCCUUCUAUGUUUACGUGAUUCAGAGAUAAUCAUAGAGGAAAAUCCAUGUUUUCAG